CUAACACUGCUCUACUUUGACUUUGGAGGAUGCUUUUUGCAUACUAUGAGUUUGGGGAUUGCUGUACAUAUCCAGUUCUCAGCUGACAUCUAGGUUUGCAUCCACUUCUGGCAGUAGCAAAAGUCAUCAGUAAUCAGUCUUGAGGUAGUGUAGGAGCUAAUGUAUUAUUCUCUCAGAAUAUCCUAUAUUUUUCCCCUUUUCCCUGGUCUUGUUUUCCCCUUUUUCAUGAGUGCCAGGUGAGGUUCAUUCAAAACAGAGCACUGAUGAGGGUCCCAGAAACCUGUAGCAGCUGCAGCGGCCCUUUGGCACUUUUGAGGAGGGUAUAAAUAAGGUUUGGAGGGUACAAAUAAAGCUUGAAGGGUACUCUGAUUUGGGCCAGGUAAGAAGUUAUCUGGGAUUGCAGGAAUCCUUAGGGAUUAUCCAGCUAAAUGUCUAGUUAUUUGAGAAAAGCUUUUGUUCUCAUUUAUACCACCAGUUAUAAUUUUGCCUGCCAAAUCCCUUGUUUAAGACUGAAUUUACUAUAAUUUCUAUAUUAGAUCUGUUUUCCAUUUGAAAUCAUAAAGUACCAAAAGCAGUAAUUUUCUUCCCUCUUUUAUUCCAGGCAAUGCUGCAGUCUCUUCCCUGGCCCUCUGAGGAACACCUCAAAGUGCAGUGCUCCACAUCAGGCUUCAUUCAUGACUUCUUUUUUCUUCUAACCAGAGAAUCCCUAAGCUGUAUUUCCUCACUUCCCUUCUCUCAAUAGGCCAUUUUCCUUUCUCACCUUCUCACAUUACUGUCCUGGCAUUCUCUUGCAUGUGAUAUUUAUAUAGUUCUUAGCUGUAAAUGGAUUUCUUCUGGACCUUGAUGGUCUGGGAGUUGCGUUACACUUCAAGGUGACUUUCUUUGUAGUUACAGCUGUGAUCUGUCUGCUGGCAGCAGAGAAGUCCAAGCUCUACCCUGUUAUUGUCAUUUGAUGCAUUUUCCCUCUGGACUAAGGAAAAGAAUUCCCUUGGAACAAAUUGUUAUUCUUGGCCUAAAAUCAUCUGACAGUUUCUGAUGAUCACAUUGUGAUCCACCUCUUUCAUCCAAACACAUGAAGAAAUCAUGUUUCCAGCUUGAAACUGUUAGUGCUUGGUUUUUGGUCUUCUGGGAUUGUCAGGAUCUCGCCUUUGCUUCUGGAAUGAAAUCCUGAUCUAAUCCUGAAAAAGGAGUCCAGAUUAAACUGACGUGUAACUUGCUUGUAAAGCUUUCCCUUUUCACAUGAUAACCUGAUUAGAACUGAGGCAGUGUUUUAUAUUACCCACAUAGAAGAGAUUUAUGCCAGGUUCUUGCCUCAUGGUGUGUUGAUUCAGACUUUUGUGCAGUGUUAGUUAAAUAAACAUGAGUGCAUCUUGAUAUGGUUAUUUGGGCAGUCACUUGAUCCUCUGUUUCAGCAUUAUUAAUACUUCACUAGCAAGGAACCUCUUUCUAAAGACUUGGAGGCUUCAUUUAUUUGGAUAAACAUAUAAUAUUUCACAUCCUUUCCAAAGAGCAGUAAGAAUGUUUUUCUUGGGAAAUGUCUCAUUCUCUUUCUUUAUGGACUGUCCUGAAUGAUGAGGGAAUUACGGCAAGACUCUGCAGAUCAGUCUCAGUUCACUGCAUAAACUUACCUGUGCUAGUGAAGAGGAAGGCUUGGUGUCCUAGGGAUGUUCAUUCUCUCUAGAAAAGAUGGGUUUGCUUUAAAGAUUUAAAGUAAUAUAAUUAAGUUGGUUUAAAGAAAGAAUUUGGUUUUGUACCUUGGAUAAGCGGCAGGCAUUUUAAUUCAGAUCCCUCUGCAACACAAACAUGAUACUUGGAGCAGGGGAAGGAUCAAAACUGCAUUAACGUAAUCCCGAUGAUGUGGAGGAUAGUACAAUUUGUAGCUGAUGACUUCUGAGAGUACUUCUUCACAUUGUGUUGUUUGAUGAACUUAUCUUGUCUCUCAAUUUCUUUAUCUGGACAAUAGACCACAGUGAAGACUAUUUUAGUGGCGUUACUGAAGGUGAGGAACCUGACCUAUGAUGCCUGAAACUUAUCCUUCUGCUGGCAAUAAGGGCAAUUCUGGAUGCUGUUACCCUGCUUUGCAUGCGGUGAGGGGAAUGAGUGUAGAGGGUUUUUUGGACCUGAAAAUGGGGUGUUGUGAUGAAGAUUACUGAUUCCCACAGGAGUGGUGAUGGCACAAGGGAAGUGCAUUCAUGGGCUGCUGAUUCAUGUGCAGCUGUGCAGUAACUUGGACCACCCCUUAGACUGAGUCCCCUGAAAAGCGCUUCUCUUAAGGAGGGCUUAUGUUGCAGCUGAAUCAGUAAGCCAGCCGGUGUCAUAGA